UUAGCACCCAAAGAGCGAGGGUGGGGCUGCCUCAGUCAAGCAACCGAUUGCAAAACAAGCGGAGUUCUUUCGCAUCCUGAUCUCGUGGGAUUAACAUCUUUCUGUGAAUCAGAUCUUGUUCAUCUUUGUGUUUAAAAAUGCUUUGUUGGAAGCCCAGAGAGACCAAAUGCCCUCCCAGAUUAAUGGGAAGAAGUGAAAUGAAGUGCAGGCUCAGGCCACAUAGAAACUCUCUAUUAAUCUACCCCCAAUGACCUAGAUAUGGCAGUCAACAUCAAUACAGUGAAGAAUCUUGUGUUAUAAACAUCUUUAUAAGGAGCUUUUGUCAAGUGCCUGCUUUCUUGGAGCACCAGAUUAAGAUACAAGAAGAUGGCCACGAGCAAACCAUGAAGAGGGCUGUCCCCAGACACCAGAUCUGCUGGUGCCUUCAUCUUGGACUUCCCAGUUUUCAGAACUGUGAGAAAUUAAUGUUUGUUGUGUGAGCCACCCAGUUCAUGUUUUUGUUAUAGCAGCCCAACCCUGACCAGAACAUCCCCCAGUUGGACUUUAGUUCCCGCAUGUCACCCAGCUGUGUGUCAACAUUAACAAUGACUUUCAUGUUGCCAAAUCCAAUGAUUGAUUCUUAGCAUCUUAAACAACAUUUAUCACCAUUCAUUUAUCACUCUCUCGGAAAUACUUUUUUCACCUAGCUUCCAUAAAAGCUUUCCUUCCUGCUUUGCCUCCUAAUAGAGGCUAAUUCACUUGAAGCCAAAAAAGCCUAAGCUUCAGGGCUCCUCAGUUGUAGUCCUUUCUAGGACAGCAUUUCUCUUCUAGCACCCCUGCAGCAGUAUGGAACAUAGUUCUCAUAUCGGAAAAUGAUUCUGGUAGUGGUUCCAGGGCUUAGAGUGGGGCCAGUGGGCUGCCAGCACUACCUCCACUUCACCUGGACUCUAGCAAGAUUUAGAUCCAUAAUAGAUCUCAAGGACUGUGGAAUCUACCUUCUAUUCCAAGAAGAAGAUCUGAAGGAGACACUGUUCUUCUCUGCUCCUUGCACGGGGUUACCUUCAUGGCCACCUUCCAUUGUCCCUAGGACCAGCCUAUCAGUUCGGAGGUAGCAAGAACUGAUGGCCAUUUGGUCCAGGCUGAGUGGGACCAGCUGCUUCCUGGGCCAUUGGGAGCCAUGGGGUCCCACACCACAACUAGUGAGAGAAAACACCUCAGUUCUCUGAGGUCUUUCUCCUGGGCGAGACACACUGCCAGAGGAAGAAACCACAGAGGAAGUUACAGAUGGGGUCUUACCACAGAGAGCUAUGAGACUGAAUAAACUUUUUCUAAAAAUUAUCAAUAAUAAAAUUACUUUUGAGCAACCAUGCUGGAGGAAAGACUAAAUUAUCUAUUCUCUCUAUAGAAAAUUGUAUUUCAAAUUCACCCUCAUAGAGAGGUGGUCGAAGAAUAUGCAGCCAAAAUGUAGGAAAAUAUUGUAUCAGAUAAGUAAUAGGAAUAAUAAAAAUAAG